CGCUGGCGGCGUGCUUCAUACAUGCAAGUCGAACGAUAAGGUCUCUUCGGAGACACAUAAGUGGCGGACGGGUGAGUAAAAUGUAGAGAAUCUGCCCUAGAGUGGGGGACAACAGUUGGAAACGACUGCUAAUACCGCAUAUGAGCGUACCUGCAAUGGUAUUCUUGAAAACUCCGGUGCUCUGGGAUGAGUCUGCAUCUGAUUAGCUAGUUGGCGGUGUAAUGGACCACCAAGGCGACGAUCAGUAGCUGGUUUGAGAGGAUGAUCAGCCACAAUGGGACUGAGACACGGCCCAUACUCCUACGGGAGGCAGCAGUAGGGAAUUUUGCGCAAUGGGCGAAAGCCUGACGCAAGCAACGCCGCGUGAUUGAAUAAGCCCUUCGGGGUGUAAAGAUCUGUCAGUAGGGACGAAACUUGACGGUACCUACAGAGGAAGCAUCGGCUAACUCCGUGCCAGCCGCAGC
rnacentral:rRNA from 1 species